UACGAAGGGGGCUAGCGUUGUUCGGAAUUACUGGGCGUAAAGCGCACGUAGGCGGAUAUUUAAGUCGGGGGUGAAAUCCCGGGGCUCAACCCCGGAACUGCCUUCGAUACUGGGUAUCUUGAGUUCGGAAGAGGUGAGUGGAAUUGCGAGUGUAGAGGUGAAAUUCGUAGAUAUUCGCAGGAACACCAGUGGCGAAGGCGGCUCACUGGUCCGCUACUGACGCUGAGGUGCGAAAGCGUGGGGAGCAAACAGG
rnacentral:rRNA from 1 species